rnacentral:rRNA from 1 species
UGGGGAAUAUUGGACAAUGGGCGAAAGCCUGAUCCAGCCAUGCCGCGUGUGUGAAGAAGGUCUUCGGAUUGUAAAGCACUUUAAGUUGGGAGGAAGGGCAGUAAGCGAAUACCUUGCUGUUUUGACGUUACCGACAGAAUAAGCACCGGCUAACUCUGUGCCAGCAGCCGCGGUAAUACAGAGGGUGCAAGCGUUAAUCGGAUUUACUGGGCGUAAAGCGUGCGUAGGCGGCUAAUUGAGUCGGAUGUGAAAUCCCCGAGCUUAACUUGGGAAUUGCAGUCGAUACUGGUUAGCUAGAGUGUGGGAGAGGAUGGUAGAAUUCCAGGUGUAGCGGUGAAAUGCGUAGAGAUCUGGAGGAAUACCGAUGGCGAAGGCAGCCAUCUGGCCUAGCACUGACGCUGAGGUACGAACGCAUGGGGAGCAAACAGG